rnacentral:lncRNA from 1 species
AUGGUGAGGGGAGAGGAGGCAGCGUGCAGAGCCAGAGGCAGGAGUAGGUGUCACAGAAGAGAUGGGAGGACGUGCAUGUGCCCGCCUCACAAGGACACAGCACAGAGCCUGGGGCAGAGCAAGCCUUCAGCAGAGAGGAGAGGAGUUUCUUUCUUCUUCCCUUCUGCCCCUUCUAGAAUAGUCAAAGGCCAUCUAGGGUCUUGGAAUCCAUCACUCCAGCCUCUCCCCGAGCAGCUGACACAUCGCAGUAACGCUUCUCCAGAAGUCAGGGUCUGCUGACUCCGGCAGGGACGGGAAGGCAAGCGAGCACAAAAAGUGGGCCCUACACGAGAAGGUUCCACAGAUACUGCCUGCCUAAUGUGGAUCUUGAGUCAGAUCCUACGAAAUCCAGAAGGAGGGCAUGGCUGAGAGCACCUUGGAGAGGCGGAAAAAGGGGAGCUGACUCAACACUGCUCAGUUGGGAAGGUGCAGUGUCCCGGGGAGGGAAAGGUAGGUGACUCAAGUUGGAACUUUCUGGGCACAGAGGAGCUGGGAUCUCUCAUCCAAUUCAUGCAAAUCCUUGGCUACAUCAACCCAGAUCCCACCCCUCCCCAUACGAGGCUUGAAAUCUAAAUCUAACAUGACUCACCAACCAUGUGGUUUGCAAACAUCACUAAGCUUGUCUCAUUUUCCUCAUCUGUAAAAUGGUUUAAUAAUCUCUGACCUGCCUGCCUUACAGGGCUGAUGUGGGGAGGAGGAACCCAUGGGCUGAGGAUGUAAGAAUGCUCGGUGACUAUGAGUGUUGUACCAACGUAAAGGGUUGUUUGAGGGAAUGUUUUAAGAUGAUUUCUGGGUCGGGCACGGUGGCUCACGCCUGUAAUCCCAGCACUUUGGGAGGCUGAGGCAGGCAGCUCACCUGAGGUCAGGGGUUUGAGACCAACCUGGCCAACAUGGUGAAACCCCGUCUCUACUACAAGUACAAAAAAUUAGCCCAGUGUGGUGGCAGGCACCUGUAGUCCCAGUUACUCGGGAAGCUGAGGCAGGAGAAUUCCUUGAACCCGAGAGGCGGAGGUUGCAGUGAGCCAAGAUCAUGCCAUUGCACUCCAGCCUGGGCAACAGAGCAAGACUCCAUCUCAAAAAAAAAAAAGAUGAUUUCUGGCCUGGGGGUGGUGGUGGUGGCGACUGGAGGCUGCUCUGGAGUGGUUAGGGGAGAUGUUGGGGGAAUCCCAGGAAGCCAGACCCAAAGUUCCAAAGUAGGGUAGAAUUCUCUUGAACAUGGGUUUAGAGUAUCUCUUAGUGUUCUGGUACAAAGUUCCUUCUCCUCCUAAAAAGCAAAUCACAAGACCAGCACAAUGUGUGGGGAUCACGAUCUUCCAGCAGCCCACAGCUUGGCUGUUGCACUCUUCCUGAAUGCCUCUGGAUUUCUACACGGAGGCACAGAGCUGAUCUGGGACAGUCCCUCCAACCAGACUCUGAUCACACCCCCAAACUCAAGCCCAGCAGGCUGACUGAUGUUGACUUCUACCAGUCGAAGGCCAUCCUUAGCCACACUCUUCCUCCUUGGUGUAGUGGAGGUCCGGAACUAGACUGUCUGGGUUCAAACCCUAGGCUUACCAUUAGCCAGGCAUGUGUGCCCUCGGCAGGUUAUUAACCCUUCUGGGCCUUCACUUCCCCAUCUGUAUUUGUGGAUAAGAGUAGGCCCAUCUCAUAGCCUUGUUUUAAGAGUUGAAUGUAUUAACAAAGUGCUUAGCACAGUGCUUGCCACCCAAUAAGCACUAUUCCUGUACUAGCUCCUUUUGCCAAGAUUGGGCUGAAGGUCUGUUUAUUGUUUUUGUUUUUGUUUGAGACAGAGUCUCGCUUUGUCACCAGGCUAGAGUGCAGUGGCGCAAUCUUGACUCACUGCAACCUCCGCCUCCUGGAUUCAAGCGAUUCCCUUGCCUCAGCCUCCCAAGUAGCUGGGACUCCAGGCACGCACCACCGUGCCUGGCUAAUUUUUUUGUAUUUUAGUAGAGAUGGGGUUUCACCAUGUUGUCCAGGAUGGUCUUGAUCUCCUGACCUCGUGAUCUGCCUGCCUCGGCCUCCCAAAGUGCUGGGAUUACAGGCAUGAGCCACCACACCUGGCCUUAAGGUCUGUUUUUGAGAGGCCUCUGUGACUGCUCUCUGCUCUAUUGCCUUCCUCCACAGUUGCCUUGUCCCUUGUCAUGUUGGUGCUUCCUGGUCACACAGAAGCAGAGAGCCAGCAUUCAUCCUUCUUGGGAACUCUCGGUCCUCUCCACUUGCCUGGGCUUGAGAUCCUCCUCUACAAAGUCAUGUCCCUCUUAUCAUUCAAAACUCUGCUCAAUACCCAUGUCCUUCAUGAAACAUGGUAGUGGUGGCCCCAGUGGGAGAAGCAUAAACUCCGGGAUCAGAUAAACCUGGGUUUGAAUCCCAGCCUAACCUGUCCCACCAGCUGGGUGACCUUGGGCAAUUACUUAACCUCUCUUAGUCUCAAUGUCCUUACAUGUAACAUGAGGUAAGUAUCUCUUCCUCAUGGAUGAUGAUGAGGGUGAUGCCUGGGGCAGCAAUGGCACAUAGUAGGUGCUCAACAAAUGUUACUCUUCCCUCCUCUUAACCUUGCUCUGAUAGCAGUUUCUUCUCUCUCCUCCAGCCCUUAACAGCAUUUUACAGUCUCAGUAAGAGGAGGAAACAUACAUACACACUGUGUGUAUGUUCUUAGAUAUUUAUCAUGUGUUGGCUCUUCUUUUGUUCAUUCAACACUUAUCAGGCAUUUGCUAUUUGUCUGAUGCUCUGCUAGGCCCUGGGGAUGACUAAGACUGAAUCCUUUCCCGAGGAGCUCACAGAAAAUUGAGCGGAUCAUCCUGAGGUCAGGAGUUUGAGACAAUCCUGGCCAACGUCGUGAAAUCCUGUCUCUACCAAAAAAAAAUAUGAAAAUUAGCUGGGUGUAAUGGCAGGCGCCUAUAGUCCCAGCUACUCGGAAGAUUGAGGCAGGGAGAACUGCUUGAACCUGGGAGGUGGAAGUUGCCAUGAGCCAAGAUCAUACCACUGCACUUCAGCCUGGGUGAUAGAGAGAGACUCCGUCUCAAAAUACAAAAAGGAAAGAAAAAGAAAAUUGAGAGGAUCAAAUAUAUGUAUGUGUAGAUAACGUCAGGGUCUGUGGUCAGUGUUCUAGUGGGGGCCGUCUCUGCAAGGCGCUUUCAAUCACAGCAUAUGGUGCGACUAACAACACUCCUCUCAGCAGUCAAAGGCCUUCAGUUCAACUCAGAAAGUGUUGACCGGGGCCCUGCCGUGUACCAGGCACUGUACUAGAUAGUGGGGAUUCAGGAUGAAGAAGACAGUGCUUCCACCCUCAAGGAGUGCAGGAUCCAGUAGGAAAGACAGACAGAGGAUGUAAGGGUUACACCGUGUGGACAGUGCCCCUGUGCCCAGGUGUGAUCAUGCAAGAGGGAGACAGCUAAGUGUGAGAGGUAAGGACGACUUCCUGGAGGAGGUGGCAUCUAAGACUUGGAGGACAAGUAGGAAAGACAGACAGAGGAUGUAAGGUUUACACCGUGUGGACAGUGCCCCUAUGCCCAGGUGUGGUCAUGCAAGAGGGAGACAGCUAAGUGUGAGGGGUAAGGACGACUUCCUGGAGGAGGUGGCAUCUAAGGCUUGGAGGACAAGUAGGAAUUGGCUAACAAAGGAGGGACAGAAAGUCCUUCCAGGUGGAGGGAAAUAGUCUGGGAGGAGCCAGGCCAGGCAUGGGGCUCGGGGGAUUAAAUGUAGUUUUGUAAGGUUGGACGCAUGCACAGGAAGCUCGGAGCCUCCAGCAAGAUCCUCUUUUCUUCUCUUUCUGCCCCCAACACCCUUUCCCUGGUCACAUCCCUCGGUCCCAGCUCCAGAAGACCCCUUUUCCAGAGGCUUCUGCCUCUCUGAUGCUAAAA